rfam:Drosophila mojavensis strain TSC#15081-1352.22 Ctg01_10071, whole genome shotgun sequence.
GUUUGUCUGAUGAGUAAAUUAUUUUCUGACACCUCGAAUGAAUCACUGUGAUUUCAACUGUUUUAACAACUGAAGUU